rnacentral:lncRNA from 1 species
GCCAAUUGAAAGUAUAAACAAUAGAGAUACGCAAAACCUGUUUGCCAAUUCAAGGUUGAAGGGAUGAUCCACUUGUAGUAUCGAAUAAGUUAGGCAGCGGAAUGGACGGCGAUGGCUUCGGUGCAGAUGCUGCCUUCAGGGUUCUUUACUCUGAAUUCUCCGGGUAGGCAGGGUUCCUAUGCCAAAGUUUCUAUCCGUCCUUCUCUGUUCUCUUUCUUUCUUUUUUCCUCAAGGUUUUGUUCCAAGAACCCUCAGAGUGUUUUGCUUCUCUUCCUUCUCUUUCUCCAGUGAAUCUCCAGUGUAACUCCAAGUGUAACUCCCCUACUGAAACUUCAGUAUUAUAGACUAAUUUCGUGGGUAAUGGGCUUGGAAUGAGGGAGACCCAAGUCCAAAAUAAUUGUUAUAUUUAUUUAUUAUUUAUUUUAAUUAUUUAAUUAAUUAAUUAAUAAUUAAAUUAAUUAAAAAAAAAAAUUCUCUUUUUUUUUUUUUUUUUUUUUUUUUUUUUUUUAGGAAAAAUGAUGGGUAAUUUUUGGGUAUGACGAGCUGCCCCUGUUUCAAUAUUCUUGAACCGAGAGAGUUAAGAUGGCGUGUAUGCCAUUCGUGGUCUGGAGUGGAAGAUGUACUUGACACACUAGAAUCCCCAAAAAUUUGCACUGAGAAUCGACGGUUGUCUUGAUGGAGAUGGGCUUAAAGAUCCAUCCGGGAGGUUUGAUGACGAAGCUUCAGAGCGCCGCGUAAUUAGGCCAAUUUGAAGACAUGGGUGCCACACUGCGUACGUUAGACCGUAUAAUGAGUAUCCAUUAGGCUGCCCGACUUCGCUGGGCGAGUCGGAGUUGUGUCGAUAUCUGGGGAUAAAGGAAUCAGAAUGGACCAUACGCUAGAUCCGUGAAUCCGAGUUUGCAGCAAUGAGCNNNNNNNNNNNNNNNNNNNNNNNNNAAAAGAGAGAUAAGGUCCAAAUGGGUCGUACGUUAGACGCAUUGGAGUUGCUGAAGAAAAAGUCAUAAUGUUUUUGGGCUGAAUCAGAAAUGAAACCGUACGUUUAAGGCCUUGUAUCUGAUAAACCUGUAUAUGUUGUAACUUGCCCAAUAAAAAUGGUCCCUGGGAAUGGGCCUAGAGAUUGCCAUCGUUAGGGAGGAAAUAAUCGCAAGUGGGGUUGUCCAAAGAAAAUGGGGGAAUGGUUUUCCCAUGACACCUGUAUUUUGAAAAUAUGUAAUCUGAAUCUUGAAACUGUUGAAAAAUUUGAUAAAAGGUGUCUGUCUUGAAUGACACCCUUCUUACUUUGGAACUAUAUCAGGAGGAUUAAUUAACCUGCAAAAGAAAAGUUUUAAGCUUCAACAUGCUAAUGGUCAAUGAUGCAAUAAGAUGUUUCGUGUUAUGGGCUAAAAAUAAAUGUGGAAUGUUUUGUAAUGCAUGCCGUAUUGGCUGUGAAAAGGAUGUUAAUGAAUGAGUUAAUGCCGUACUGAGAAGUUUUCUUGCUUGGGGACUCUUACUUGGGAAAAUAAAUCCGCCAUCUAUUGAAUUUUGAGACAUUUGUGUCGAUGACUCCUUUCUCCGCUGAUGGGAUGCUUGAUUUCUGUCCUGAUGGUGGAAAUAUUUCAACAGAGCCUGGCUGGGGAAGGAAAUGAGAUGAAUCAAUCGUGCUGGUGAACGCCGACCUUGUGGGGAGUACUGCUUUGUGCUGGGAAUACUGCCAUUUUCUGAGGAGAAACAAAAGGCCUUGCUGGGGGAAGAGAAUUGGUAUGCGGAUUCCUUGGAAGCAUGAAUUAGACCUUUUCCUUGAUCCUGAAGUUUGGGGUAGUAAUUUGCUUAUUGCUAUGUGCUAUAAUGCAUGUUAUUUUUGGUAAACAAUCAGUCAUAUUCAAAUGCAUAUAUUAAUUAAAUUAAAUCAAACGUGGACGUUUACGCCAAACAAACAACAGAGAAAGAAAAAACCAAAGAUCUUUUGAAAGAAGGUUGUAUUGAUUUUGAAAGAAGGCUAUAAACAGGCAAUUUGUGUACAAGGAGACAGACAUUCCUAGUAAGAGGAAAAUUGUCAGAAAAACAAAGAGAAAGUUAUGUGGAAGAAGUCCUAUCGAUUUUAAGCGCUACUACUGUCAUUAAUGUCUUCGAGCAUCUCAUCCUUGCUGUCGGAUAGAAGUGAUUGGCUUGGUCGAGUCCCCUCGAACUUGGAUGAAAGUUGACUGAGAACGGGACAUAGUCCAAUACGCUUUUAAUCCCUAAUUUUGUGCCUGGACCGCCUUUUUUCAAGGUUUUUCAGUCCACCAGGAUAACCUUUUUUGGCCGCAAGCCCGGCCUUUUCAGGUUUUUCGAGCUUGCCGGGUGUACAUUUUUUUUUAUAUAUCCUAAUUUUUGGCCGCAAGCCCUUUUGGUUCGCCGGGAUGCCCUUACUUUUGCCUAUGAUACGUCCGAUCUAGCGGGUCCUCUUUUAUGCGUAGUAUUUUUUAAACUAUGUCGCGUUCACGAUGUGGGAAGUCUUCACCAUCCAUUGUAGCGAGUAUCAUGGCUUCCACCCUGAGAAUACCUUCUUAACUACAAACUGGCCCUUCGUAUGUGGGAGUCCAUUUGCCCUCUGGGGUCAGUUUGUGGUAGGAUGAUGCGUUUGAUUACAAGUCGCCAAUUUGGAACAGCUUGUCUCUUGACGCUUUUGUUGACAAUGCCCUGUGCAUGAGCGAUUCUGAUAUAUUGCCCCGUGACAUACAGCCGCAAGUCUCGUCUCAUCAUCAAAUUUAAUCUGAUCGAGUCGAGUCUGAAUCCAUUCGUCUUCGUCUAACGCCCGCCUCUUUCAUGAUCCUAUAGAGAGGGAAUCUGAACCUCUACUGGUAAAGACGGCUUCCAUCCGUAAGACUAAAGAGAAGGAGUUGCCCCGUCGAAGUUCGUACGCGAAAGUACGCUAACCAUGAAGAGCAAAUGGGUAACAUCUCUGCAGUCUUUUGUAUGUUACCGUCAUCUUUUUGUAUAAUCUUUUCUUAAAAUAUUCUUAUUAGCCCGCUUCUACAGCGGCCGUUCCAUCUUUGGCCGGUACGGAGAAGAGUUAUGGUGUUUUAUUUUGUAAACUGCGUGCAGAUGUUCAGUAAUCUAUCUUGUUGUUUCAAAUUAGUGCCAUUGUCCAUGAUAAUCCUCUCAGGGAACGCCGUUAUGCGCAGAUGAGUGCUUGUUCUUGAUAGAAUCGUGCCACCACAUCUUAGUAACAGAAGCAAAUGAGGCUGCCUCCACCCACUUGUGAAGUAAUCAAUAGCACAAGGAUGAAGCGGAUGUCGCAUUAGAGGCGGUUAGGUUUAAUUUCGGCCAAUCACAUCCAAUGCCCCACAUUGCAACAGGGCCACGGCGGCGGUCAACAAACGUUUAAUGGAGCAGGAGGCACAUGUACUUUAUCCGCAUAGAUCUGGCACUUAUGACAAGUUUCUGGAGUGUAUGGUGGCAAUCAGUUUUCCAAUGGUAGACCAAUAAUACCGCUGAACUCAGAAUCUUCUUGGCCAUUGUAUGUCACUAAGAAUGAGUCCCAAAAGAUACCGUGCGUGCAUGCUUCCAAUAAUCUUCUCUGAUUCCCUUUCAUCCACACAGCGAACGCCAAAGUCGAAAUCAUGGUUUACGUUUGUACAAUAUUCCAUUACUCCAAAAAGAAUUUAGCGGAGAACUUCUCAGAAAUUUCCUGUCAUUGAUGGAUGUCCCUUCAGGGUAUUCUUGAGCUUCUAAACAUAAUCUUUUUAUCUCGUGGUACCAAGGCUUCUCUUCUAGCUUCAUCAGGCGUUAAGUUUCAAUAACAAUAUGCUGGUUCGUCUAGUCGUUCAAUGGUAAUCCGGGGAAGGCUUCAUUGUCCAUCUGACUCUGAACGAUAGAUGACAUGGUAGCUAAUGCGUCUGCCAACAUGGUUCCUCCUGCGUGGAAAAUAUAUUCGAAUGUGAUGCUCUUCCCCAGUAUGGGAAUUAAUGUCAACACCCGUUCUCGCGAUUAAGGGAUGGAUUCCGGAUGUUUAGUGUCCCAUUCUCCUUUGACCUUGACUGAUUACCAUAGGUGGAGUCUCCGUACACCUUCAAGAACUUGAUUCUUAGGGUCUAUAGCAGCUCUGAGUCCCAAAAUAACACGCUUUCAUACUCAGCCAUUUAGUUGGUGCAUUCAAAACAUAGUCUAGCGGGAAAGGCGUAUGGCACCUUGGGGGAAAUGAUCACGACGCCAAUACCGUUGGCCCAAUGCCCGUUGCCGAUCCAUCAAGAACACCAUAGUCCCAUCGGGAUCCCCACUUCGGGGUCCCUUCCUCUGGUCCAGGUUUCUUCAUGAUCAGUAAACAGCAUGACAUGCCUCAUCUGGGAACUCAAAUUCAUAGACUGAGUAAUCCAUUCACUGCUGAAUGAGCCAAAUGAUCAGCUAGCGACGCGUUCCUUUGGAUUGCUUUUUGGGUGUAUAACUGGGGAUAUCAUACUCUGUUAAAAUCAUCUGCCAUCUGCGGCUGAUUCUUUGGUCGCGGAGGGGACGGGUUUCUCAAUAUGUAUUUGAUAGGAUCCAUCUUAGAAUCCAACAAAGUGGUGGUGAUUCAGCAGUAUACUGUCUUAGUCGCGAGCAGCGCAGGCCAAAGCACAGCAAGUUUUCUCGAGCAGUGAGUAUCUUGUUUUAACAGUCGGUAAACUUUUUGCUAAGGUAAGUAUAUGGGCAUGCUCUUUUCGACCAGACUCGUCAUGUUGCCCCAACACGCACCCCAUUGGUUUCUAAAACGGUCAAAAUGACAUGAUUAGGGAGGUCUUCCCUUCAAACAUCUGGUGGUUACCAAGAUCGGAGGUUCUUGGAAGGUACUGUUCUUGAAUAUUUGUCAAAGCUUCUUGACAUUCAUCAUUCCAUAUCAUCUCCCUGAUUUUUCUCAGUAAAAACUUGAAAGAAUGGUUUGCAAGUAGCGUCAAAUGGGAAAAUAAACCCGGGCAAUGUAAUUCAAACGUCGCCCAAAGAAACUCUCUUGACUUCUUUUAUCGUACGGGGAAGCUGGCAAUUCCUGAAUAAGCUCAUCACCGUUGGCCGGGUCAACUCAAAUAGCCUUAUACACACUGACAAUAAAGCCUCAAGAGUUUACCCGGAUGCUUACUCCCAACGGUGCAUUUGGUUCGGGUUCAAUCUGCAAUUGUAUUUCUCAGCGCUCCCUCAAAAACAAGUUUUUUUUGGUAUAAAUGAUCGAGAUGUUUCUUCCUUCAGUAUGAGAACCUGGGCUAUCAUAUCGUCCACAUAUACUUCCUAUUCAUGAUGAUUUCAUGUCAUGGAACUAACACCAUUGCAUCGCUGGUCAUUUGCUCAUGAGCGUUCUUUAACCAAACUGGCAUUACUUAUAACAGAAGGUUGCCCCUAUUGCGUCAACAACGUGUCCUCUUCCAUGUUCCUCAAGGUGCCAUUUUGAUCUGGUUAACCCAGAUCCAUCGCAUGAAGGAGAAUACCUUGUGUUGAGCGAUGUUGUCGUACCAGAACAUCAAUGUUGUGGCAGUGGGUUAAAUCAUCCUUGUGACUCGCUCUAUUGAAAUCUCUGUAAUCCACACACAUUGCGCACCUUACCAUCGCCUUCUUUGGCACUGGUAUCCCGCCGCCCUCACAUUAGCAACAUUGAGAUAAGAAAGUAAACCGCCAGAAAACCAGCAUUCGAAUUGUUUCAAUGACUUUGCCUUGAUUUUCUCUCGGACAUUUCAGGACGCAUGGGCGACGAAGGCCUUUUGCUUAACAGGACGACAAUUUCCUCGUCGGCAAACCGAUGCACUAGCUAUAAUCGGUGAUCCAGCCCUGGCAUGUCUUCGUAAGACCAAGCAAAAUCUCACAUAUCAUGUAGAAUCCUGAAUCAAUCUUUCCUUGAUACUGCUUUCCAAGCUGCCUCCUAUUUUGACCUGCUCUCUUGUCCACCUCGGUAUACCACAGAUUUACAGUCUCAACUGACUCCCUCAUGGCGGCUGUAUAGUCCUUUCUCUUGUAGUAACAGUCUGGCAGUUUCUUUUCAGUACUUCACAAUCUUCCUACUUCCAUCUUCGGCUCGUAGAUCGGAUUUUCAAAGUCAUAAUGAACAGUAUAAAGAAAAAAACCUUUUUUUUUAUUUUUUUAAAAUUUUCCCCCACCAAAGGAAUCCAGAGUGGAUAGGGAUCUGCAAUGUCGUUACGCUGCGUGUGUGUCAGAAAACAUAGCUUGUUUGAAAGAUAAUAGGAAAGACAAGAGCGCAAUAUUUGAAUGCAAAACGUCCAUUGAUUUAUUGAAUAUAAAUAUGCUUAAUGAAAAAUGACAAAACCCCUAACAAAUUAGCCAUUGUGCCUCGGGCAUAGACACAAUGCUUUAAGAAGUUUGAUUGUAAAAGAAAAUUAAAUUUGCAAUUCUAAGAAUAAACAAUAACAAUUACUCCUGACUAAGGAAAUCGGGAUAAUGUCACUCAGUCUUCCCCAAUUGUUGAGUCCGUGCACCAAUUGUUGGGAAAAAAUCAGCUAUCCAAGUGCGCAAUCACUAUCAGCAUCUUCAUAGCCAUUUAAUCUGAUUUUGACUAUCUUUCCAGAGUAAAAACCCCAGCCAGCUUUAUCAGACUUGUACGGUACAUUGACUCAGUUGACCCCAACCAGCAACGAUCACCAUUUUCAAUCGCGGCUUGAGCAUGCUUCAGAAGAGAUCAUGACAGGGGGAGCACGAACAACCUUGGGCAACAAGGGGAGUUGGCUAAGGACAGGACUGGUGGAGGAUCCACCUUCAAAUGACUGGAGAAGGAGUCUCAAAAGAAUUCACCAUCCAUCCGACGUAUUUGAAGGCUUGCACACUACUGACAAUAAUAAACUCUUCUUCUCCACAUACAGUGACAACCAUGUCCCUGCUAUUGGGAUACUUCAGCUUUUUGAUGAAGCGACGAAGCUACCGCACCUGCCCCUGGAUCAAGGGCGCCCAACAAGCAGGAGUAGCGGGAACGAAUGUCCAUCACGUGAAAGGUUAAGUGUUGAAGACUUGAGGUCCCUAUCUUGAUUAGGGAAGAACCACUUCACCAUAGACAACACUCUUCGCACCAUCGUAAGCACGCACCACAAGCAUCACUAGGUUUCAGUUCAAUUUGCUUGUAGUCAAAUUUUAAUCGAGUACAGCUUUCGGGAGCACAUUCAAGGAAGAGCCGUUGUCGAUCAACAACGUGAGCCAAGGGUGAUCCCCUCACACUCGGAUGGAAGAUAUGCAGAGCUUUAUCGUGAUUCUUUCCUCGGCGUCAGGUCAGCAUCGGAAAAAGCCUAGGCCAUUGUCAACAGUCAAUAUAGCACAACAUAAUGUCGAUUGAUCGACGGAUGUUUCUUGAGCACAGAGCGGUCCUUCACCGAAAUUUUCAUCAAUGCAUUGCAUGGAGCAGAGGAUUAAUAUCAGGGACAACAUUGAGAUUUUAGACGGAGUUGCCCGCAAAUUUUUCCACUACAUCAAAAUCGCUCUUACGGAUGAUUUUCAAGCAUCCUUCGCAUUUCCUGUUUGGCACCCUUCAGAAGUAAGCUCGAUUCGGAUGUCUCUGACUAGGGAGGAUGACUGGUCUUUUCCUCGAAUUUCGGGAGCGGAGGUGAGAUUUGCUGGGGAGUAGAUCCUUCCACUUCGAGUAACUUACUAGUCCCGCCACAAUAUCAUUAGGCAUUAGCAGAACUACCAACUUGCUUUAGCCAUGAUGUAAACGUGCGGCCCCAUAGUUCCAACCGGAAUUAGCUUUGAUGGAGGAAUAUGGCACGGGGCCAGGUGCGGUAAUAAUCAGGGGAGGGCCCACCCCCCAUUUGGGCUGCAGCGGUAAUUCUCACAGGGCAACUCUAGUAGCGGUAAUCUUCACUGACGCUUGUGGACCUAGCAAUACCAGAUAACCUCUUCAAUAGCGUUGUCCACUAGGACCUUUCAAAUAGAUAUUGUAACGAUCGAUGCCAUCAGCCGUUGGAAUGGCGUUCUUCACUUCAAACAAUCAUUGGUGCGAGUACACAGAAUGCAAUCUUCCAGGCACAACCUGGAAAUAAACGCAGCUGUGCAAUAAAUUCUUUCUAACGCAGGAGAGAUGCAAAUCAGCAACGUCAGUAACGUGAGAAUUGUCGUCACAACAUUAACAUUCUGGUCAUGAUUAGGCCAUAGGUGCUUGAUGACAUUGGGGGUCGCCGGAGGAAUCAAAUUCAAUUUCUCUCCAGCGUCGAUCAAAUCGCUGAAUCUCGUAUCAUGCCGGGCUAUGAGUGAUAGGCCACCUGGCGUUGGGGAUAUACGAGGAGAAGUCAGUGUUGGGAUUUGCAGGAAGGGCCUCUGAGGGUAAUCAAAUUGGCGCUUUAACAACUCUGCAGUGCUGGGUUAAUCAUAUUGAACUGGUAAACUGUCUUCUCGACCUGUCUUUGCUGUGUUGGAAGUCUGAGAUGGCGGUGGGCGGCAAUUGUAACUGCCCAACAUAUGGUCACGAAUUCUUCUGUAGCUUCCUCUCACUGUACACAGCAUUGAUUCACUCUUUUCCCUGAUAGGACUUUUGGUGCUUGACAGAAGUAGCUGCCUGUAUCUUCCCACUUCGAAUGCCGCUUUCCAACCUGUUCACCUGUCAAGAUAUCAGUGAAACCUGACGAGGAACUUCCCAAGUAGAUGGCUGUAGAAGUGGCCAGUCAGGUACCCAUGAACAUGUCCACUAACUCUCGAUCAGUCAUAGGGGUUUUGAACUCUGCAGCCAACAUCUCUCCCACUUUUGAGCAUAUUCUUUGAAACUUUCUUUAGAGCCCAUAGUCAUAUUUGUAGCUGUAGCCGAGUAGGCGCUAACUCAGAAUUAUACUGGUAGUGCUUGUAGAAAGCUGUUGCUAAAUCAGUCCAUGUGCGGAUGUUAGAGCUCUCAAGCUGAUAAUACCACUCUAACUGUGUGCCAGACAGACUCCUCUUGAAGAAAUGGAUCCACAGUUUCUAUCAGUAGUGUGCGGCUGAAUCUUUCUCACAUAAGCCCUUAGAUGCAUCUGAGGACAAGAGGCACCAUCAUACUUAGUGAAAAUGGGAACCUUGAAUUUGCGGGGAAUGACCACAUCAGAGACCAGACCCAAGUUUCGAAAUCCAGACCGGGCACUUUCUGCCCCUCCAUAGCUAGCAUACGUUCUUCCAGCAACUUGUACUUAUCAUCCUUCGGAGAGUACUGUUCAUGUUCAUAAUCUCAUCGUCGCUCUCAGAAUUGACGAGAUUAGGAUUCUCAUCUUCCGAAUCAUUCUCGUCUCUCUUCUGAAUCCUUCGGAAUUCUAAUCUUGACUCUGUAACUGUCCUUAAGCCUUCUCCCGGGUUGAUGUAACCCACAGGUUCUGGUCCUUCUUCUUCUCCGUCAAAGAGCUUUCAGUUCUUCCCUGCCCCUUAGAUAAGCUCAGCAUCAUUUCCUGGAUUUGAGCAUCUGGGCCUGGAGAUCUUUGACAGUUUGUUCGAGAGCCAUUGUUCAAUCUGUUUGAAUUUGUUGGAAUCUGUUUGCUAGGAAAUCGUGAGAACACUGAUCCUUGAAUACUGUUUAUGCGAUGCAAUGCAAUGUAUGAAAUGUUUUCAAGGACUUUCGGGAAUUUAACUUUGCAUAAACUACCAAAAGAGCUUUUUUUUUCUUUCUCUUUUGUUUUUGCUUUUUGUUUUUGUUUUUUUUAGCAGAGUUAAUCCCUAAAUCCUUGAAAUGGUUAUACAUGCCAUGAUGUUAUGAUGUUAUGAUGUUAUGUUGUUAGAUAAAUACAAGCACAAGCAAGUCACACAACAAUCAUUCCUAGGUUUUAAGGCUUGCGUGAGUUCCAUAGGUAAAUACCCUCCCCACUGAAGUUUGGUUGGUUCAACCUGUCUUAGAAUAGUAACCGGGUUCUAGAAGGAUCUCAAAUCAUUGACCUUUCCUUAAGUCCACUUCAGUGCAACACCAAGUGGUUGACCGAAGCUUCCCUAAAGUCCAAUCUCAAAGAGUGUAGUAUCGAGUCUCAACCAACUCCAGUCGGAACCGAAGCCAGUUAUCUCACUACUUUCUAAUGGCCAGGAUGAGUCAAUUAGGGUUCUAAAGGUCUGGUUAAUGCUUUUAUGACACCACGCACGCGAAUGCCAAAUAUUUCCUCAACUAACAUGAGGAACAUCAGGACAUCCAAAGUGCCAAAUUAACCGUAGCCAUCAUUUGACCAUUCCAGUAUACGCCGGACAGUCGCGAUGAUCUCUUGCUACUUACCUAAGGUACACUAGAUCCGGGUGUAGGAUCUUUCACUCAAGCAUAACAUACCCAAGCAACCCUUAAAAAUAAAUCAGACAAAUUGAAUAAGUGAUCUUGUUUUUAAGGUAACCUCUGUUUUUAAAUAUUCUUGACAUCCCCAGCAGAGUCGCCAGUUCUGUCAUACGGUGAACUGGACUUUUUGUGUUUUUUAUCGCAAUGUCGCGGUUAGCAAGAGUCGCCACCGACUUUUCUUUUAUCCAAUAAGGAAAGGUGGAAAGAACAGGAAAGACCUUAAUUUAGAUUUUGGGUUCGGGAGGUACAUUAUACAAAGGGAAGGUGUUAGCACCCUUUGUAUCCAUGGUUAUCCAUGGGCUCUUAAUUGCUCGAUCACUUAUAUUAUUUUUGUCUAAAAAAGUGUUUGUGAAUUGUUUGGAAAAUUGUUUUGAAAAGAGAAUUUACUUGUAAUGAUUCUUGUAUGAAGUAUACAAAGUGGUUAUCCCGUUUUAGUUUUGAAAAUUGUUUAGAAAAAUAUAACUCGGUAAUGAUUCUAGUAUGAAUGUAUACCAAAGUGGUGAUUUUCUGAAGGUAUUUGAAAGGUGUGAGGUGUGAAAAAAUGUUUUAGGUUGUGAGCCAGCAAUUAAGAGUUAUACCGACCCAAGGUCUUUAUGAGUAUUUCCUAUCCUUAUGAGGGUAAAACUGUCCUUAUUAUUGAGAAAUAAGUAGUUUAUCCUUUGGAUGUUUAAGGGUCAUCGUAGGGUCAUCGAUAGGUCAUUGAAGGCAACAGUUACGAGGAUAUCUUAGCAUUCGAAGGGACUAUCAUCUUUUAACCGUAGGCAACAUCGGAGGGUCAUCGAGGGACAAAGUUGUAUAUUCGAGGCAACAUCCGAGGGACUAUAAUUUAUUUUAUGAUGAUUUAACCGAAGGGUCUUUGCUAAGGGUAUCCCCACGUUCGCGGACAUGACCGUAAUAUCGUAAUCGUAAGGCAACAAAGAGAGGUCCAAGAUCACUUAUUCAAAGGCAAAGUUUUACAAUUAAUUAUAUAAUUAGGAUGAAACUCCACAUUAAAAUUAUUAAAAAUAAUAUAUUAAAAAAUUAAUACAUUAGAAAUUAAUACAUUAAAGUUAAUUUAGGAUGAAACUCCACAAGGGUAUCCCACAAAUAAAGUGGAAUACUAGCCAAUAACCUUUUCCUGGGAUAUGUGAACCUUUACGAAACUCAAAAAAGAAACAUGUCAGAACACCAAAUCAGGGUGCAAUCGAAGAUUACACGGAGAAAUAUCACAACAAAUAAAUAGGAUAGGAUGAAUAAUGCAUGGCUAUGAUAAAACAUAAAAAAAAACAGAAAAGAAAAGUCAGCUACUGUCUCGUUCGCCUCUGCCUCGCCUAGCGAAGGCACGGAUUUUGAAUUUGAAAACAGCCCCAUGUUAGGAACUUUGAAUUUUAUGGCAUUUUAUCACAGGAAUAACAUGGUCAAACAUUCAGGGUAUUCAGGCAUAUUUAAAUUCCCAUACGAAAGCAAAUUAUAUAUCAACAUUUAAUCAUGAUGCAUUAUAUAUGUAGAUAUGGCCAAUUGAAAGUAUAUAACAAUAGAGAUACGCAAAACCUGUUUGCCAAUUCAAGGUUGAAGGGAUUGACCACUUGUAGUAUCGGAAUAAGUUAGGCAGCGGGAAUUGGACGGCGAUGGCUUCGGUGCAGAUGGGCUGCCUUCAGGGUUUUUUACUCUGAAUUCUCCGGGUAGGCAGGGUUCCUAUGCCAAAGUUUCUAUCCGUCCUUCUCUGUUCUCUUUCUUUCUUUUUCCUCAAGGUUUUGUUCCAAGGAAACCUCAGAGUGUUUUGCUUCUCUUCCUUCUUUCUCCAGUGAAUCUCCCAGUGUAACUCCAAGUGUAACUCCCCCUACUGAAACUUCAGUAUUUAUAGACUAAUUUCGUGGGUAAUGGGCUUGGAAUGAGGGAGACCCAAGUCCAAAAUAAUUGUUAUAUUUUAUUUAUUUAUUUAUUUUAAUUAUUUAAUUAAUUAAUUAAU